CAGUGAACUCAAGCUUGUUGCGUGGAAGAGAACCAAUAGUGAAUAAGCUCUUCUCGCCAUCAUAUGCAAAGUGCUUUCCAUCUAAUUCAGAAUCGUAAGUUUCCUGAACUCGAUCAAUGACCUUCCUUCCAACUCCUUUUCCGUCAACAGGUCGACCAUCUUCAUACGAAAGAGCAACACUGUAAUGGAAAAAAUACCCAUCAACGUUGGUCACAUUCACUUUGAAGUGGUUGGUGAGAAGAGGAAUCUUCUGUCCUUUGGAAGCCAACCCACGCCUAGCUAUCGGAACCCUAAGAGGCUUCUUCUUCACCGGUUCAGGCUCUGCUUGUAGUGGAACUACAUCCGGUGGAACGACAGUUGGAGGAGGAGGCAAGUCCUGCUGUGACCCAUUUUUCUCGGGCUCAUACGAAUCCAUGUCUUAACAUUCAAAGUAGGCGUUAGCGUCAGAGAUACCGGUGGCGGUUGAGAGGUCCUGGCCGGGGAGAACCACGUUGACCGGAAUCUUCUCUUUCUGUAAGCAGCUAGCGAAAAGAGACAAAAAAAAAUC
rnacentral:misc_RNA from 1 species